AGUGAACGCUGGCGGCGUGGAUUAGGCAUGCAAGUCGAACGAUACCGCAAGGUAUAGUGGCAAAAGGGCGAGUAACACAUGAGUAAUCUACCUUCGAGUGGGGAACAACCUUGGGAAACCGAGGCUAAAACCGCAUAAGACCACGGCCUGGCAUCAGGCUGUGAUCAAAUGGGGGGACCGUAAGGCCUCUAGCUUGAAGAUGAGCUCGUGUCCUAUCAGCUUGUUGGCGGGGUAAUGGCCCACCAAGGCUUUUGACGGGUAGCUGGACUGAGAGGUUGGUCAGCCGCAUUGGGACUGAGACACUGCCCAGACUCCUACGGGAGGCUG
rnacentral:rRNA from 1 species